rnacentral:rRNA from 1 species
UACGGGGGGGGCAAGCGUUGUUCGGAAUUACUGGGCGUAAAGGGCGCGUAGGCGGCCUCUUAAGUCGAAUGUGAAAUCCCCGGGCUCAACCCGGGAACUGCGUCCGAUACUGGGGGGCUUGAAUCCGGGAGAGGGAUGUGGAAUUCCAGGUGUAGCGGUGAAAUGCGUAGAUAUCUGGAGGAACACCGGUGGCGAAGGCGGCAUCCUGGACCGGUAUUGACGCUGAGGCGCGAAAGCCAGGGGAGCAAACGGG